UUUUGUUCUAUUGCUGGCUUUCGUUUUUCUACUCUGUGUUGAGCGAUCUGAUACCUUUGAGGGGUCUUUUUCACCUAUUUGUUCGGUUCAUCUUCCGAUUGUUCUUGAUUUUGUGGUUGUUUGAUCGAGAAAUGGGGGAUUUCUACGCGGACUUGACGGCGUUGAUGAGGAAGCCGGCGGUGGUGGAGACCCUGAUCGACGUUCUGCUUUGCGCAGUGCCGAUCUGGUUGUCAGUCUUGAUCGGGUUAGUCAUCGGGUGGUCGUGGCGGCCGCGGUGGACGGGGCUGCUCUACCUUGGCCUCCGGAGUAGGUUCCGGUUCAUCUGGACGGCGCCGCCGGGGUUCAGCGCCCGAAGGCUUUGGCUCGCGGUCACCGCACUCUCGGCCUUCUCCGUUUUCCGGAAAUUGUGGUCUAGUUUCGAGGGGAAGAACGGGGAGCUUCCGGCGGCGGAAGGACCGGGGUCGACGACGCUAGUAUCCAUGAGCUCAGCGGCGAUUGAAAGAGAUAGCGACAGUUUGAGUUCGAGCAUUGAAAUGGAUGAGCAAGAUAUUGUUUCCGAAAAGGAUUUGGAGCAUCUAAUGCGCAUUCUAGAUAGUAAUGUUGGAGAUGCAGCUUGGCAGAAUCAGAUGGAACGCACCACGUCCAAUAUGAUUUACCAAUCAUGGCGUCAUGAGCCAAAGGAGGGCCCUAUAAUUUAUCGUAGCAGAACAGUUUUUGAGGACGCAACUCCUGAAUUGGUCAGAGACUUUUUCUGGGAUGAUGAUUUCCGGUUAAAAUGGGAUUCAAUGCUUGUACACUUCAAAAUAUUGGAGGAAUUCCAUCAGAGUGGAACCAUGAUUGUACACUGGAUUAAAAAGUUCCCAUUUUUUUGCAAUGAUAGGGAAUAUAUAAUUGCUCGUCGUAUAUGGGAGUCUAGAGGGAGCUAUUAUUGUGUGACAAAGGGAAUACCAUACCCAUCUUUACCCAAAAAGGAGAAACCCAGGCGCGUCGAUCUGUACUUCUCUAGUUGGUGCAUCAGGGCCGUGGAAUCGCACAAGCAAGAUGGCCAACUAUCUGCAUGUGAAGUAACUCUCGUCCACUUCGAGGACAUGGGCAUACCCAAGGAUGUCGCCAAGGUUGGUGUUCGACAUGGGAUGUGGGGGGCAGUUAAGAAACUGCAUUCUGGUUUGAGGGCAUAUCAACUGAUGGCGAGAACUGAAGCUUCUCUAUCUAGAUGUGCGCUCAUGGCACAAAUCACAACUAAGGUUUCCCACAAUGGAGCCAUCACUCAACUCGAACCAGAGUCCUCGAGCUCUACUUCUAGAACAGCUGACAGCAUUGCCAAAUAUGAUAAGGCGCAUCGAGGAAUCGACUGGAAAUGGGUGGUUAUUGGGGGAGUUACUGUGGCAUGUGGUCUUCAUGCUGGUCAUAUUGGAAAAGCCCUCUUAGUUGGAGGAGCUGCAGCGAGACUCGCAAAAAAGUGAGUCGGAGGGCAUGCUGUAAUUGAAGGCUGAGCUGAUCAGAUUUACUUCGGAUCUUGGCAUGUUUGUAGAAGGGCUGCUAGUAAACAGAGAAAACUGCAACUCGCCGACGGAAAAUACAGGUUUUGGUGACUACUUGCUCGGUUGUAUUCGCGUGAAGCAUUGAAGUUAUGCACCAACCUAUUCAACCCCUUGACUUUCGAAGAUAUAGUCAACGUUGACAGUACAUGGGAGAUCAACAUCAACUUGAUGAAAACUAAAGAAGCAGAUCCUGAUUUAUUUCAUUUCGAAAUAUGCUGGAAUAGCCUCCAUUGUCAAUAUACUAUCGAAACAACGUUUCCCUUACAACUCAAUUAAAACAAGCUGUGCAAUAAACAAAUUAAAUGUUAUUUUACCUUUUAUAA